rnacentral:rRNA from 1 species
AGAGUUUGAUCCUGGCUCAGGAUGAACGCUAGCGACAGGCUUAACACAUGCAAGUCGAGGGGCAGCGGGGGCGAAGCUUGCUUCGCCUGCCGGCGACCGGCGCACGGGUGAGUAACACGUAUGCGACCUGCCCCCCGCAGGGGGAUAACCGGGAGAAAUCCCGACUAAUACCGCGUAACGCCGCUGGGCUGCAUGGCCCGGCGGCCAAAGGAAGCGAUUCCGGCGGGGGAUGGGCAUGCGGCGCAUUAGCUAGUCGGCGGGGUAACGGCCCACCGAGGCGACGAUGCGUAGGGGUUCUGAGAGGAAGGUCCCCCACACUGGUACUGAGACACGGACCAGACUCCUACGGGAGGCAGCAGUGAGGAAUAUUGGUCAAUGGGCGGGAGCCUGAACCAGCCAAGUCGCGUGAGGGAAGACGGUCCUACGGAUUGUAAACCUCUUUUGCCGGGGAGCAACGGGGUCCUUGCGAGGGCCCGAUGAGAGUACCCGGAGAAAAAGCAUCGGCUAACUCCGUGCCAGCAGCCGCGGUAAUACGGAGGAUGCGAGCGUUAUCCGGAUUUAUUGGGUUUAAAGGGUGCGUAGGCGGGCUGUUAAGUCAGCGGUCAAAUGUCGGGGCUCAACCCCGGCCUGCCGUUGAAACUGGCGGCCUCGAGUGGGCGAGAAGUAUGCGGAAUGCGUGGUGUAGCGGUGAAAUGCAUAGAUAUCACGCAGAACUCCGAUUGCGAAGGCAGCAUACCGGCGCCCGACUGACGCUGAGGCACGAAAGCGUGGGUAUCGAACAGGAUUAGAUACCCUGGUAGUCCACGCAGUAAACGAUGAAUGCUAGCUGUCCGGUUCUACGGGACUGGGUGGCACAGCGAAAGCGUUAAGCAUUCCACCUGGGGAGUACGCCGGCAACGGUGAAACUCAAAGGAAUUGACGGGGGCCCGCACAAGCGGAGGAACAUGUGGUUUAAUUCGAUGAUACGCGAGGAACCUUACCCGGGCUCAAACGCCAAAGGACAGCCGCUGAAAGGCGGCCUCCCUCCGGGGUCUUUGGCGAGGUGCUGCAUGGUUGUCGUCAGCUCGUGCCGUGAGGUGUCGGCUUAAGUGCCAUAACGAGCGCAACCCCCAUCGACAGUUGCUAACGGGUGAUGCCGAGGACUCUGUCGAGACUGCCGGCGCAAGCUGCGAGGAAGGCGGGGAUGACGUCAAAUCAGCACGGCCCUUACGUCCGGGGCGACACACGUGUUACAAUGGCCGGUACAGCGGGAUGCCAGGGCGCGAGCCCGAGCGGAACCCGAAAACCGGUCUCAGUUCGGAUUGGAGUCUGCAACCCGACUCCAUGAAGCUGGAUUCGCUAGUAAUCGCGCAUCAGCCACGGCGCGGUGAAUACGUUCCCGGGCCUUGCACACACCGCCCGUCA